GUCUGUUUGAAGUUAUAAAAAGUUUAGCCUGCCCACUGAUAAAUAAAAAUAAUUUGAAUGGCCGCGGUAUUUUGACCGUGCAAAGGUAGCAUAAUCGUUAGUUUUUUAAUUGGAAUCUUGUAUGAAUGGCUGGACAAAAGAAAAUCUGUCUUUAUAUUAUUUAUUGAAUUUAACUUUUAAGUGAAAAGGCUUAAAUACAUUAAAGGGACGAUAAGACCCUAGAAAGCUUAAUAUUAAGAUAUUAUUUAGUUAAUUUUUUUAUAAAAACAUAGUAAUUGAAUUUAUUUUAUUGGGGCGAUAAAAGUAAAAUGAUUUCUAACUGCUUAAUCUUGAAUACAUUGAUAAAUGAUUGAGUUUUUAAAUGAUCCUAAUUAUAGAUUAAAAGUUUAAGUUACUUUAGGGAUAACAGCGUUAUUUUUUUUAAGAGUACUUAUCGAAAAAAAAGUUUGCGACCUCGAUGUUGAAUUAAAAUACCUUUAUAAUUGCAGCAGUUAUAAAAGUAGGUCUGUUCGACCUUUGAAAUUUUACAUGAUUUGAGUUCAAACCGGCGUAAG
rnacentral:rRNA from 1 species